UACGUAGGGGGCUAGCGUUGUCCGGAAUCAUUGGGCGUAAAGAGCUCGUAGGCGGCUUUGUCAGUCGGGUGUGAAACCUCCAGGCUCAACCUGGAGCCGCCACCCGAUACUGCAAUAGCUAGAGUCCGGUAGGGGAGCAUGGAACUCCUGGUGUAGCGGUGAAAUGCGCAGAUAUCAGGAAGAACACCAGUGGCGAAGGCGGUGCUCUGGGCCGGAACUGACGCUGAGGAGCGAAAGCGUGGGGAGCAAACAGG
rnacentral:rRNA from 1 species